rnacentral:rRNA from 1 species
UACGUAGGGGGCAAGCGUUGUCCGGAUUUAUUGGGCGUAAAAGGCUUGUAGGUGGCCACGCCAAGUCGGAUGUGAAAUCUCCCGGCUCAACUGGGAGGGGUCAUUCGAUACUGGCGGGCUCGAGGCCGGUAGGGGGAAGUGGAAUUCCCGGUGUAGUGGUGGAAUGCGUAGAUAUCGGGAGGAACACCAGUGGCGAAGGCGGCUUCCUGGACCGGUUCUGACACUGAGGAGCGAAGGCGUGGGGAGCGAUCCGG